GGAGCGUCGUGUACCGGGGUGAAGCAUGAGCGGAAGCACGUGUGGACUGUACACGAGUGAGAAUGCCGGAAUGAGUAGCGAGAAUUAUGUGGGAAUCAUAAUGGCCGAAAAUCUAAGGUUUCCUGGGCAAGGUUCGUCCUCCCAGGGUAAGUCGGGAGCUAAGGCGAGGCCGAGAGGCGUAGUCGAUGCACAUACGGUUGAAAUUCCGUAACCACCGAAAGAUUUAAACACAGGGACACAUAGAGAUAGCGGGACCCCGGCGUUGGUUGACCGGGGCGCAAGGGACCGAACAUCAGUAGGGAAGUCCGCGAUGCUCUGUGGCGAGAAAAGCUGUGUGUAUAUCUAAGGUGCCCGUACCGCAAACCGACACAGGUAGAUGAGGAGAGAAUCCUAAGGCCAACGGGAGAAGGGUUGUUAAGGAACUCGGCAAAUUGACCCCGUAACUUUGGAAGAAGGGGAGCCCCCGUUUUGGGGGCCGCAGAGAAUAGGCCCAAGCAACUGUUUACCAAAAACACAGGUCUCUGCUAAGUCGAAAGACGACGUAUAGGGGCUGACGCCUGCCCGGUGCCGGAAGGUUAAGAGGAGAGCUUAGCGCAAGCGAAGGUUUGAAUUGAAGCCCCGGUAAACGGCGGCCGUAACAAUAACGGUCCUAAGGUAGCGAAAUUCCUUGUCAGGUAAGUUCUGACCCGCACGAAUGGCGUAAUGAUUUGGGCACUGUCUCAACAGCCCGCCCGGUGAAAUUGUAGUACUGGUGAAGAUGCCAGUUACCCGCAACUAGACGGAAAGACCCCAUGGAGCUUUACUGCAGCUUAAUACUGAGGAUUGGUAAUGCAUGUACAGGAUAGGUGGGAGCCUGGGAAACUCUGGCGUCAGCUGGAGCGGAGGCGUCCUUGGAAUACCACCCUUGUGUUACUGGUUUUCUAACCUGCGGCCGUGAAUCCGGUCGGGGGACACUGUUAGGCGGGCAGUUUGACUGGGGCGGUCGCCUCCAAAAGAGUAACGGAGGCGCUCAAAGCUUGGCUCAGCACGGACGGAAAUCGUGCACAGAGCGUAAACGCAGAAGCCAGGUUGACUGCGACACCGACAGGUGGAGCAGGUACGAAAGUAGGAGUUGGUGAUCCGGUGGUAUGUGAGUGGAAAUGCCAUCGCUCAACGGAUAAAAGCUACCCUGGGGAUAACAGGCUGAUCUCCCCCAAGCGUCCACAGCGACGGGGAGGUUUGGCACCUCGAUGUCGGCUCGUCACAUCCUGGGGCUGAAUUCGGUCCCAAGGGUUCGGCUGUUCGCCGAUUAAAGUGGCACGCGAGCUGGGUUCAGAACGUCGUGAGACAGUUCGGUCCCUAUCUGUUGCGGGCGCAGGAGAUUUGAUGGGAGCUGUCCUUAGUACGAGAGGACCGGGAUGGACAGACCUCUGGUGCACCAGUUGUCGUGCCAACGGCACAGCUGGGUAGCUACGUCUGGACGAGAUAAACGCUGAAAGCAUCUAAGCGUGAAACUCCCCCAAAGAUAAGAUCUCCCCCCUUUAUGGGGUAAGGGUCGAUGUAGACUACAUCGUUGAUAGGCCGAAGGUGUAAGCACGGUAACGUGUUCAGCUGAUCGGUACUAAUCACCCGAGGGCUUGACU
rnacentral:rRNA from 1 species